UUUGGGUAAUAUAAUCUUCGUGUGGAUUUUGGGUAGUUUUAGAUCUGGGGUUUUUGUUUAAAAAGGUUUGUAUUUUGUGAAUGUUUUCUAUAUAGGCUCUGGUUAUGUGAUUAUAGAUUUUCUUGUCCUGUCCUAAGUUGUCUUUGUAGGUAUUUAUUUGUGGUGGUACAAAUAAAAGGUUUUGGGUUUUUGGUAUAAACGGCUUUUCAAAUAUCUUGUUCAUAUUUAUAUUAACAUAUCUUUUUUCUUCCUUUGUAGAUGAUGUGCUACCUGUAGCUGCAUGUAACAAACUAUUAGUUUGGGUUUUUCGGUGUUUCCCAUCGUCACCUUCUAGCUCCGGAAUUUUCAAG
rnacentral:lncRNA from 1 species